CCUACGGGAGGCUGCAGUGAGGAAUAUUGGUCAAUGGGCGCUAGCCUGAACCAGCCAAGUAGCGUGAAGGAUGACUGCCCUAUGGGUUGUAAACUUCUUUUAUCUGGGAGUAAAGUGCAGUAUGUAUACUGCUUUGCAUGUACCUUAUGAAUAAGGAUCGGCUAACUCCGUGCCAGCAGCCGCGGUAAUACGGAGGAUCCGAGCGUUAUCCGGAUUUAUUGGGUUUAAAGGGAGCGUAGGCGGGUUGUUAAGUCAGUUGUGAAAGUUUGCGGCUCAACCGUAAAAUUGCAGUUGAUACUGGCAGCCUUGAGUAGAGGAGAGGUAGGCGGAAUGCGUGGUGUAGCGGUGAAAUGCUUAGAUAUCACGAAGAACUCCGAUUGCGAAGGCAGCCUGCUGGACUGUAACUGACGCUGAUGCUCGAAAGUGUGGGUAUCAAACAGGAUUAGAUACCCUUGUAGUC
rnacentral:rRNA from 1 species